UGUUCAACAUCUAUCUAUCUAUAAUAUAUAUAAAAGCAAAGUUUUUGCAGCCUGGAGGAUAAAACAGUCAUUCAAUUUGACAUUCCACAUGAUUGGAUUUUUCUGAAUGGUUAUUUCUGUAAUUGUGUUAUUGAUUGAAUAGAGAAUUAAUCAUGGCCGUCCCUUAGUUUGAUCAUGGCCGUUGACAUCCUGACUUCCACUCUUCCAUUACAUCUGAAUUCUGAAACAUCUCCUUUCACCUUCUCCCUUUUCGCCCUCUCUACAGUUAUGGGCAUUGAUCACACCACACCUUUCUUCUGGGUAUGCAUUAGAUCUUCAUUUGUUGUUGCCUUUUUAUCUUCUAAACGUAUCUCGCUCACUCUUCGUUUCUCUUUUCGCUUUCUGAAACGUAUCAAUAGCUCUCGACUCCCCUUCUGAAACGUGUCUAUCUCUAUAAAUUUUCACAAAACUUCUGGAUUCGUCAAUUGCUUUCAGUUAUCGCUUAUCUCCUCUGCAACUCUUGCGUUGUGGCGCAGCUUUCGUUUCCACUAGGGUUUGGCCGCACAAAAUCUGCAACUCUAUGCAACCCAAUUUUCUUUAGCUUUAGGGCCCAAGGCUUCUCAUUUCGGCGGAGCGGCUUGGAUAAGAUUUUGAAACCAGGGAAGGUUCGAUCAGCAUCUGCUUCCUUAAAUUCCACAAAGAAUUUAAUGUCUCAGGUCCUUUAGAACUCUCCGGGAUGUGAAUGUAUCGUUCCUCUUUCAUGCCCCCAGGCCUCGAAUCCCAGCGGAACUCCAGUUCAUUGCCAAGAUCAUUGUGGCCGCACAUCCCUCAUCUAUAGCUUGUGGAAAAAGCAAAUAAGAAAAAAGCUUGCAAUGCCCUUUUUGUUUGAGUGUAACUAAAAGUUACGAAGCUGUGAAAAUGACUAAGCAAGCUAGCUGUGGAGUUAUGGCUAGCCACCGAAUGUAUUGAAGGUUCCUCAGAAUGAGUGUUUUAAUACCUUUUCAUUUUCAAUAGCUUAUGUAGGAUUUGAUACUUGCUUCAUUGAAACUCAAGUUUAGUUUGCAAUUCAUCAUUGAUUAUUUUUUAGAUUAAACUUUCCAAGCGGUGAACUAUUGUCUUUAUAUUAUCACAUGUCAAAUUCACAUUGGUUAUAUCAUACAAAUACUAUCUCUAAAAUUUAGUUGAACGACCAUUUGAUGAAAUGAUGAUACAAAUACUUAGUGAAUGAGUAUUUUAAUACAUAUGUACUCUACCGGCGAUUCUUUUAGCCAUAUUUGAUAGCAUGGAGGGAAAACUGUUGGUUUAGUAGUGUCACUCUUGAGCUUGAAUGUACCUUUUAUGCGAGUGGAAUUCUGGGCUCUGCCCUUUCAACCCUCUAACCAUUGAUAAGAAAAUUUCAACGGGUUUGAGAUGACACUAUGCACCCCGAACACGUGGUGUUAAACUAGCAAAUCUAAUUUGCUUUUCAACUUUCUGAUUGAGUUGUUUGAAACUUUCUAAAUCUGAUUUGCUUUACAACUUUCUCAUUUAGCUAUUAUUUGUAACUUACUACUUUUUGUGCGUUCAAUGGUGUGGUUAUUAUUCUCAUGAUUUUUUUUGGUGAAUGUUGCAGUGAUUUAGCAGCCUCUAUGGCUUGAAAUGUUCAGUACCUCUUCCUUCAACUCUCUUUCCGUAACUCUCUUCUUAAUAUUAGCUAUUUUCUGUUCUAGCUUUUUCUUUUCCAUGUGUUGGCAUGUUCAUGAAUGUUCCUCCAAUCUGUUUUUUCUGUUCACUUCUUUCUUUUCCAAUAUUUUAGUAUGAUCACAACGACUGCACUUGGGUUAGUUCUGGCCGCAAGAACACCUCUUCUGAAGGCGUCGUCGUUCCAUUCGCCUCUUCCAUAUAUAUAUUUGUUUCAUAUUUAAAGUUUUCUACUUAAUCAGUAUUACAGCUAGAAUAAUUUGUUCUCUUUUUUCCCUAAUUUGUUCUCAUUUUCCUGAACUGUUGGUUCUCAUGAACCUGUUUCUUUCUGGCAUCUAUUUUACGGUAGAGCUAUGGAUAAUCCUAAUAGUAUUUCUCAAGAAUUGGGGCUGCUAAUAGAUCCAGUAAGGAUAUCCCUUGAAGAGGAUUUUCAAAACAUACAGCCUUAGGAACUCAAUUGAUUUGCUAUAGUUCUGCAAAUAAGCAUGUUUAUCUACCUUCCUUCAUUUCUAAUUUUUAUUUAGGUCAAUAGUUACUGUUUGAUAUUUAAUGUGUUCUCUUCCCCAUCUUUUUAAUUAGUCACUUAUUCCGCUAUGGAAAUGCAUUGUAUUGCAGGUGCAUGUCAUGUUGGAAAAACUGCCAGAAGAAGAUUUUGGCCUUGAAAUAGAUAUCAGAGGGUGAAAAAGUCAUGUCUUGAUGUUCAGCUCUGCAAAAAAGGAACUGAAGAUUGUGAUCCGUCAAAUGAUACCACUUCGGGGGGAUUGCUUAAAUUUCCAAACGUUUAUUAAAAGAAAACUUCAGUUUCCAAAGCAUAGCAAUGAAGAAAUGGUAUUUGAUUUUUUUUCUAAGCUUAAAUCUGUCUUCUUUUUUAUUGAGUUCAAGCUUUUAUAUAUUUGUAACAAUUUCAAUUUUUAUUUGACUCAUUUCUGUUCAAACUUUCCUAAAUCAGCCCUAUAAACUACAUUGAUAUGGUCAUCUUUGUCGGUUUAUUUGAAUGAAAGGGAUAGGGAUAAGGAAAAGGAAAGGGAGCUAGAGAAGCAUAAAGAUUGAGAAAAGCAGAGAGAAAUCUAUAGAGGUGGGGAGGAAGACAAGGGGAAAGAUAAAAUUAGAGAGAAGGAGAGGCAGAUAGAUCGAGAUGAAGAGGCAAUUUCAUAUAAUUUACCAUGGGUAAUUUACCCUAUCUUCUUGAAUAUGUUGAGAGGGUGCAGGGGGUGAAGGUGGAACCAUCUUUGGAAUAUGUUUAUUUUCUGCAGUAGUAAAUACUCCUGGAGCAUCUUUUACAUGAUUACAGCUAACAACUGCUUAACCACCUUAUUCCACUUGAUUUUUCCUUGACUUUAUGCCGACAUGUGAUUUUUCCUUCAACGUUUUCAAGGUUAAAUUUAAUUUAGCUUUAUUUAACAAGAGGACCAUUAGCUUGAUUUAUUCCACCAACUUUUUGUUCUGAUCAGCAACCCUAGGAGGUUCCACUGUGCACAUAUGUUGAUCUACGUAGAUUAGGCAUGGAAAGUGCUCAAGAGGUGUGUCACAUUAACCAUAGAGCUUAAUAAGAGAUAUAGCUUUUUUUUCUUCAGGUUAUUUUCUUUUUCCCAUUUUAUACUCAUCUGAUAGUGUUGUCAAUAAAACUGAGAUGAAUAGAAAAUAUUAGAAUGAAAUGAUUUAUAUGUUGCACUUGAUAAAUAAAAAUUAGUGCUCUAAACGUUUUAAUUCAUGAAGAAUAACAAUUACGCCCUAGAAAUGCAAUGGAUAUAUCUUAUUUUCUUCUAUGCCUUAUUAUAGCCAAGUAAUUCAUUUACUUGAAUAUGAAUAGGGUGCAGGUGUUCCACAAGUGCCUUUUUUAUUGCUUUUACUUGAACGUGAACAUGGAACAAACAAGUAUGAACCUGAAACAGUUUUAAAGGGAUGCUUUGUUUGUGCUUUGAGUAGUAGGCAAGGGUUGUAUCUUCAAUUCAUCAUUAGAUUCUUCCCUCCUUACUUUUCCUAGAUUACUAUUCUGUCUCAUGCUAUUAUCCAGUUUAUUUGCCAAAUUGAUUUUAUUGAUUAUUCUUUUGGUGUGAUUUUGACCAUGAAGAAGAUUGACAUUAUAUCUUUGAACUCUUUGAUGUGGGCCUGUCAUAGAGCCGGGCACUAAUAGCUGGCUCUAGCGCAGCUCGAUCAGGUGAGGACUGCGGAGUUAUUACCUGACCAGUUUAUGUGUUCAAUAUUGAUGAAUGUCUAUUCUAACUUACAAGAUUAAUGGGAUACAACUCUGCAUACGUCCAACAUUUCAAGCUAUGCUGCUACACAUGGUUUAGGAGAAAAUGCUUUGCGUCUUUUUCUUUAAACCUUGACGUAGAAUAUUCAGCCAAAUGACUAUGUUAGCUGUCUUCUGAGUUAAGUUUCCAUUUUUUUAUGAGUAGAAGUGAGUAGUCCAAUCCAUGCUUUGGUUUUUACCAUUUUUUGGCCCCAUUGGACAUGAUAGUUCUGAGACUAUUCAUAUAACUCUUCAUCUUGGUGUUAAUUUCAAGACAUUUACUGGGGCAAAGAUGAUUGAAGUGAAGACAAACCAUGUAAAGUUCCACAAGAAUGGGAUCUUAUUGAGUUCAUGCUACGUGAACUUCAAGCAAGGGAAACUGGGGUUGAUCUACAUGAUAGGAAAAGAAAAUGUGAGUCUUUAUGGCCUAUAUUUCAAAUUGCUCACAAGAAGAACCCCUACGUAUUUGAAGCUGAUUGCAAAAUGGGAGAAGUUUGUACAUGUUAUAUGGAAGGUUUAACUAGCUGUGGUACUUCAAGAGUUUUCUGUGGUGGAUUCAUUUUAGGUGAAGUGAGUUAUUGAUUAUUUUUUCUGGGCUAUCAUUGUUUUGGAUGGUUUUCACUUUUGAUUUUAGUAGAUGUAUUAUGAACUUUCUUGACGGGUUGUCCUCAAGAUAUUUAUCUAUUAAAAAAUAUUACCUUUGCUUUAAAAAACAUUAAUAUUUUCUGUUGUGGGGUGUAGGAAGUCUAAGGAACUAAGCAUCUUUUUUCUCUUAGGUUAAAAAUGUAGUUAGUCAUCAGUUAGUAUUCAUUAAGGAGCAUUAAGAAACCCCAAUUUCCCGUGCUUAAAAAAUUUAUAACAAAUUAGCUUUAUGACAAAUUUAAGAAUCUUUAAUUAGAAGUGAGUAUUUAUCUUUUCCUAUCAUGUAGAUCAACCCCAAUUUCCAAUUUUACUUAAAAAACCUGAAGGUUUCACGGUUACAAAAUUGAAUGGUCAUUAGUUAGUAUUUAAGGAGCAUUAAGUGUGUUUAAG